CCGGGCAGCCGGCGGGGACGGGAUGGCGCCGCCGACGGCCGCAGGAGGGCCCCUCCUUUAAGGCUGGGGAGGCGCCCCUGCCGCGCCCCGCGGGCCUCCUGACAGCCGACGGGACCCGGCCGCUUUCCAGCCCCCGCGACCUCGGCGCCCAGCGCCCCGCCUCCCGCCGGCCAGGGGCUCGGGAUCCGGGGUGGGGGGGCGAUGCGGGGCGAGCGGGGCUGGGGGCCCGGCUCGGCUCACCGCGGACGCCCCUCCCGCACAGCCGCCGCGCCCCCCGCGCCCCCCGCGCCCCGCGGCAUGAACCGCAGCAGCAGCAGCAGCAGCGCUGCCGAGAAGGCGCUCGCAGCCGUGCUCUGGGGCUGUGAGCUAAACCAGGAGAAGCGGACCUGGACGGUCAAACCCCAGAAGGAGGGCAAGCAGGACUCGAAGCUGUUGCUCAGUACGAUUUGCCUGGGGGAGAAAGCCAAAGAAGAGAUGAACCUGGUGGAAAUCCUGCCCCCGGCCAGCCCGGACGACAAACAGGCCAAGCCCAUCACCAUCGCCUCGCUCCAGGCCUCCGUGCUACCCAUGGUCGUCAUGAUGGGAUUGGAGCUUUCUCCUCCAGUUACUUUCCAGCUCCGGGCUGGCUCUGGACCUGUGUUCCUCAGUGGCCAGGAAUGUUACAUAGACACUGCAGACGUAUCCUGGGAGGAAGAGGAGGAGGACCCCGAGGAGGAGGAGGAAGAGGAGGAGGAAAGUCACAGUGAUGAGGUUGAUGAUGACGAUGAUGAUGACGAUGAUGUAGAUGUGUCCCUAGAGGAGACCCCUGUUAAACAAGUCAAGAGGCUGGCGUCCCAGAAGCAGACAAGUGUUGCCAAGGUGAGGGAAGGGACCCCCAGAGGCUCCUCAGAAACCUGGGCCAGCCCUGCCGAGUGGAUUGUGCCUGAGUGUGUGAAGCCUGGACGGGACCCGCCAGGGGCAUCUGCUCAGCCCUGGGCCCACCCUAACCCCCUGACCCUCUAACCCUCCCAAUAACACUUGUGUUUGGUUCCCAGAAAAAAAGGAUGGAAAAAGAAGAGGAGGCAGUGAGGUAACUCUUUCCAUCUACUAACUUGGCCGACACCUUGUAGCGGGGGUGUAUGGGGCUACAAAGAGCCUGGCGUGUGUGCACACGGGUAUGAGUGCCCAGGUGUGCUGCCACUGCUGGCUGGCAUGACCUUUUUUGAAAAGCAUUAAAAUAUUCUUACCUUCUGCCCUAAUUCCACUUAUGCCACUUCCUUCCGAAGGAUGCCGUCCAAAAUAGGGGUAAAAUGAUAUGCACUAAGAAACUUAUCACUGCAUUAUUCAAGUAAUGGUGAAAAAUGGAAGCAUUCUAAAUAUCUACCAAUAUAGUAGCUGAUGGAGCCAUGUCACGUGUUCCCAAUGGAAUGGGACAUAAUGCCUAUGAGAACAUGGCAUCCUGGAAAGUGCUUAUAGAAUUUUUUAAAAAAACAGGAUAUUAAGUCAUUUUCAUGUUGUUUCACAUGUUUUUAGAAGAAAACAAAGCAAAAAGCCCUCAAAGGAAACACACCAAAAGGUUGGAACUGGUAGGAAGUAGAGAAAAUAAGUAAUCCCCAUUUGCUGUAUUUUGUGCAAUGUAGUUAAACAUUACUUUUGCCAUGAAAAAGACCUAUUUGUGAUCAGUAAAAGAAGGCAGAUGGAAGCCUGAGAAGAAAAGGACAUCUUGUUUAAAACAGAGAGCGAAAUAAAUAAAUAAAUAAACAAACAAACAAACAGCGGUCUACAGCAGGUGACAGGUGGGGUGGUGAAUUCUGCAGCUUCCAGCUCCCCAGGCCGCAACCCCCUGCUCUCAGCAUGAGCAUUAGGAGGGUCUGGGCUACUGGGGUCCGGCUGAGCUCUCUCUCUUUCCCACCCUCAUCCCCUGUCCCUGCCCUGCCCCACCCCUUCCAGACCCAGGCUUAAAGACCAGAGUCCUGUGAAAAAGGCCAAACCCACACUCAAACCUAAAAAGCCAGGAUCCAAGAAAUGAGGAGCCAGGAGUGGCCUGGCUGCAGCGACCCAGGGAGAGCUGGCUAGCUGUGACCCCAGGUCUCCCCCACCCAGCCUCUCUCCACCUGAGUCUGAAUGGGAUGGAGCUGCUGAGGCCAACACGAGAGGCCCUCGCCCCAACUCUCAAGUGUUCAGCAGGACCUGGAGCUCCAACCUCAGGGCCAUUAAUAAAGUUUGCUUUGCCAGGA